rnacentral:misc_RNA from 1 species
AAGUCGUAACAAGGUUUCCGUAGGUGAACCUGCGGAAGGAUCAGUAGAGAUUGCCGGCGCAAGCCGGUCCUACACCACACACACCCGUGAACCGUUGGGGACAGCGAAUUGGCUUCGUGCCUUAAUAGCGCCCGUUUACAAACUCUUAGAAACGUAACGAACGUAGUCUUAUUUUAACAAAUAAAACUUUCAACAACGGAUCUCUUGGCUCCCA